GGGCCGCGAGCAUGGAUGGUUAUGCUCCGGACUCUUAAUCCGGAUAGCGGGGUUCAAGUCCCUGGCGGCCCAC
rnacentral:tRNA from 1 species